CUGACACAAAUUUCAGACGCCUUCCUUUCAUCCGGCUUGGGGUCUCGUUGUGGUAAUACAACCUUUGUAUCAGGUAUAAUCUUUUGCCGAUUUGGAGCUAGAAUCCAGACAAAUGAGGUAUAAUCCCCUCCCUUCUCUUCAUUCUUCUCCUUUUGUUCCUUCUUUAUGUCUAAAAUAAACAAAAACUUGGUAAAAUCAGUGAAUUCAUGCC
rnacentral:lncRNA from 1 species